GGCAGGGGCGACGGUUGCUUCUCCCUAGGGCUACCUACUUGGCUUGUACAAAUUUUCUUGAGAUAAUAUGUUGGGAAUGGUCAACAUUAUGCCCAAAUUUUCUUGGGCUAAUAUGUUAGGAAUGGUCAAUAAAAUUUCGAGACGGUGCAUAAUAAAUCAAUUGAACCUCGACUUUGCGCAAUCUUUAUGACCGUCAAGUUUUUCUGUGAAACCAUU
rnacentral:lncRNA from 1 species